GUGGGGAAUCUUAGACAAUGGGGGAAACCCUGAUCUAGCCAUGCCGCGUGAUCGAUGAAGGCCUUAGGGUUGUAAAGAUCUUUCAGGUGGGAAGAUAAUGACUGUACCACCAGAAGAAGCCCCGGCUAACUCCGUGCCAGCAGCCGCGGUAAUACGGAGGGGGCUAGCGUUGUUCGGAAUUACUGGGCGUAAAGCGCACGUAGGCGGAUUGGAAAGUUGGGGGUGAAAUCCCGGGGCUCAACCCCGGAACUGCCUUCAAAACUCCCAGUCUUGAGUUCGAGAGAGGUGAGUGGAAUUCCGAGUGUAGAGGUGAAAGUCGUAGAUAUUCGGAGGAACACCAGUGGCGAAGGCGGCUCACUGGCUCGAUACUGACGCUGAGGUGCGAAAGCGUGGGGAGCAAACAGGAUUAGAAACCCGAGUAGUCC
rnacentral:rRNA from 1 species